rnacentral:rRNA from 1 species
GAUGAACGCUGGCGGCGUGCCUAAUACAUGCAAGUCGAGCGAACAGAUGAGGAGUUUGCUCCUCUGACGUUAGCGGCGGACGGGUGAGUAACACGUGGAUAACCUACCUAUAAGACUGGGAUAACUUCGGGAAACCGGAGCUAAUACCGGAUAAUAUAUUGAACUGCAUGGUUCAAUAGUGAAAGACGGUUUUGCUGUCACUUAUAGAUGGAUCCGCGCCGCAUUAGCUAGUUGGUAAGGUAACGGCUUACCAAGGCAACGAUGCGUAGCCGACCUGAGAGGGUCGUCGGCCACACUGGAACUGAGACACGGUCCAGACUCCUACGGGAAGCAGCAGUAGAGAAUCUUCCGCGAUGGACGAGAGCCUAACGUAGCAACACCGCGUAAGUGAUGAAGCUCUUCGGAUCGUAAAACGCUGUUAUUAGUGAAGAACAAAUGUGUAAGUAACUAUGCACGUCUUGACGGUACCUAAUCAGAAAGCCACGGCUAACUACGUG